UGACGGUCUUAAAACCCUCGCCC
rnacentral:piRNA from 1 species